CCUACGGGAGGCAGCAGUGGGGAAUAUUGCACAAUGGGGGAAACCCUGAUGCAGCGACGCCGCGUGAGUGAAGAAGUAUUUCGGUAUGUAAAGCUCUAUCAGCAGGGAAGAAAAUGACGGUACCUGAUUAAGAAGCCCCGGCUAACUACGUGCCAGCAGCCGCGGUAAUACGUAGGGGGCAAGCGUUAUCCGGAUUUACUGGGUGUUAAGGGAGCGUAGGCAGUGUUGCAAGUCAGAAGUGAAAGCGCGGGGCUCAACUCCGGGACUGCUGUUGAAACUGUGGGGCUGGAGUGCAGGAGAGGUAGGCGGAAUGCGUGGUGUAGCGGUGAAAUGCGGAGAGAUCAGGAAGAACACC
rnacentral:rRNA from 1 species